rnacentral:misc_RNA from 1 species
GAUGAAGAACGCAGCGAAAUGCGAUAAGUAAUGUGAAUUGCAGAAUUCAGUGAAUCAUCGAAUCUUUGAACGCACCUUGCGCCCUUUGGCCAUUCCGAAGGGCAUGCCUGUUUGAGUAUCAUGAACACCUCAACUCUUCAUGGUUUUCCAUGAUGAGCUUGGACUUUGGGGGUCUUGCUGGCCUGUGGGUCGGCUCCUCUCAAAUGAAUCAGCUUGCCGGUUUUUGGUGGGCAUCACAGGUGUGAUAACUAUCUACGCUUGUGGUUUUCCACCAGGGUAACCUUCAGCAGUGGAGGUUCACUGGAGCUUACAAAUGUCUCUCCUCUGUGAGGACAGCCCUUUGAAUGUUUGAUCUCAAAUCAGGUAGGACUACCCGCUGAACUUAAGCAUAUCAAUAAGGAGGA